AUCGUUUAUUUGUUCGCCAUUUGAUAUUGUAGUGUGAUUCUAAAAGCAAGCACCUGUUUUAAUUAUGAGUUGUGGACCUAUCAGAAUAAGGUGCUAUAUAACCGUAAUAAUAUGUUUAAAAAUCAGAUUUAUUAACAAGAACCAAACAAAUUAACAAAUUAGUAAAAUGUGGUACUAUACCAUUAGCAUAAAACCAAUGCGAUCCACUG
rnacentral:misc_RNA from 1 species